rnacentral:tRNA from 1 species
UCCGAUAUAGUGUAGUGGUUAUCAUACCGCGUUUUCACCGCGGGGACCGGGGUUCAAUUCCCCGUAUCGGAG